AGUGAACGCUGGCGGUAGGCCUAACACAUGCGAGUCGAACGGCAGCACAGUAAGAGCUUGCUCUUACGGGUGGCGAGUGGCGGACGGGUGAGGAAUACAUCGGAGUCUACUUUUUCGUGGGGGAUAACGUAGGGAAACUUACGCUAAUACCGCAUACGACCUACGGGUGAAAGCAGGGGAUCUUCGGACCUUGCGCGAUUGAAUGAGCCGAUGUCGGAUUAGCUAGUUGGCGGGGUAAAGGCCCACCAAGGCGACGAUCCGUAGCUGGUCUGAGAGGAUGAUCAGCCACACUGGAACUGAGACACGGUCCAGACUCCUACGGGAGGCAGCAGUGGGGAAUAUUGGACAAUGGGCGCAAGCCUGAUCCAGCCAUACCGCGUGGGUGAAGAAGGCCUUCGGGUUGUAAAGCCCUUUUGUUGGGAAAGAAAAGCAGCAGGUUAAUACCCCGCUGCUCUGACGGUACCCAAAGAAUAAGCACCGGCUAACUUCGUG
rnacentral:rRNA from 1 species